rnacentral:rRNA from 1 species
AGAGUUUGAUCCUGGCUCAGGAUGAACGCUGGCGGCGUGCCUAAUACAUGCAAGUCGAGCGAACGGACGAGAAGCUUGCUUCUCUGAUGUUAGCGGCGGACGGGUGAGUAACACGUGGAUAACCUACCUAUAAGACUGGGAUAACUUCGGGAAACCGGAGCUAAUACCGGAUAAUAUUUUGAACCGCAUGGUUCAAAAGUGAAAGACGGUCUUGCUGUCACUUAUAGAUGGAUCCGCGCUGCAUUAGCUAGUUGGUAAGGUAACGGCUUACCAAGGCAACGAUGCAUAGCCGACCUGAGAGGGUGAUCGGCCACACUGGAACUGAGACACGGUCCAGACUCCUACGGGAGGCAGCAGUAGGGAAUCUUCCGCAAUGGGCGAAAGCCUGACGGAGCAACGCCGCGUGAGUGAUGAAGGUCUUCGGAUCGUAAAACUCUGUUAUUAGGGAAGAACAUAUGUGUAAGUAACUGUGCACAUCUUGACGGUACCUAAUCAGAAAGCCACGGCUAACUACGUGCCAGCAGCCGCGGUAAUACGUAGGUGGCAAGCGUUAUCCGGAAUUAUUGGGCGUAAAGCGCGCGUAGGCGGUUUUUUAAGUCUGAUGUGAAAGCCCACGGCUCAACCGUGGAGGGUCAUUGGAAACUGGAAAACUUGAGUGCAGAAGAGGAAAGUGGAAUUCCAUGUGUAGCGGUGAAAUGCGCAGAGAUAUGGAGGAACACCAGUGGCGAAGGCGACUUUCUGGUCUGUAACUGACGCUGAUGUGCGAAAGCGUGGGGAUCAAACAGGAUUAGAUACCCUGGUAGUCCACGCCGUAAACGAUGAGUGCUAAGUGUUAGGGGGUUUCCGCCCCUUAGUGCUGCAGCUAACGCAUUAAGCACUCCGCCUGGGGAGUACGACCGCAAGGUUGAAACUCAAAGGAAUUGACGGGGACCCGCACAAGCGGUGGAGCAUGUGGUUUAAUUCGAAGCAACGCGAAGAACCUUACCAAAUCUUGACAUCCUUUGACAACUCUAGAGAUAGAGGCUUCCCCUUCGGGGGACAAAGUGACAGGUGGUGCAUGGUUGUCGUCAGCUCGUGUCGUGAGAUGUUGGGUUAAGUCCCGCAACGAGCGCAACCCUUAAGCUUAGUUGCCAUCAUUAAGUUGGGCACUCUAAGUUGACUGCCGGUGACAAACCGGAGGAAGGUGGGGAUGACGUCAAAUCAUCAUGCCCCUUAUGAUUUGGGCUACACACGUGCUACAAUGGACAAUACAAAGGGCAGCGAAACCGCGAGGUCAAGCAAAUCCCAUAAAGUUGUUCUCAGUUCGGAUUGUAGUCUGCAACUCGACUACAUGAAGCUGGAAUCGCUAGUAAUCGUAGAUCAGCAUGCUACGGUGAAUACGUUCCCGGGUCUUGUACACACCGCCCGUCACACCACGAGAGUUUGUAACACCCGAAGCCGGUGGAGUAACCUUUUAGGAGCUAGCCGUCGAAGGUGGGACAAAUGAUUGGGGUGAAGUCGUAACAAGGUAGCCGUAUCGGAAGGUGCGGCUG